rnacentral:rRNA from 1 species
UACGUAGGUGGCAAGCGUUAUCCGGAAUUAUUGGGCGUAAAGCGCGUGUAGGCGGCUUUGCAAGUCGGGUGUGAAAGCCCUCAGCUUAACUGAGGAAGUGCGCCCGAAACUGCUUGGCUUGAGUACCGGAGAGGAUGGUGGAAUUCCCCAAGUAGAGGUGAAAUUCGUAGAUAUGGGGAGGAACACCGGUGGCGAAGGCGACCAUCUGGACGGAUACUGACGCUGAGACGCGAAAGCGUGGGUAGCGAACAGG